UGACACAAAAGUAUAGUGAGUUGCUUGCAAGUCACUAUAGUGAUCUCAGGUCUGAAGGAUACUUUUACCCAUGUGUUUCAUAAGCAGCUCUUGGCAGCAGAAUAUUCAGCAGGUGAGUCAUUUAUUUAGUGACGAUGUACUCCUACAUCUCACCUGUAUGCCAUACCAGUGUCACCACACUCCUUGGUUAAGAGGACAACCAACCCAU
rnacentral:lncRNA from 1 species